rnacentral:rRNA from 1 species
GUGCCAGCCGCCGCGGUAAUACGGAGGGUGCAAGCGUUAUCCGGAUUUAUUGGGUUUAAAGGGUGCGUAGGCGGCAUUUUAAGUCAGUGGUGAAAACCUGCAGCUCAACUGUAGAACUGCCAUUGAAACUGAAGUGCUUGAGUUAUCUUGAGGUAGGCGGAAUGUGUAGUGUAGCGGUGAAAUGCUUAGAUAUUACACAGAACACCGAUUGCGAAGGCAGCUUACUAAGGAUAAACUGACGCUCAGGCACGAAAGCGUGGGGAUCGAACAGGAUUAGAAACCCGUGUAGUCC